GGGGGGGGGGGGGGGGGGGGGGGGGGGGGGGGGGGGGGGGGGGGGGGCGUGGUGCGGGGGGUGGUCGAGGGGCGGGCGGGUGAGUGAGGCGGGAGUGAGCUGCCCUUGACUUUGGGAGGACUUCAGGAAACGGGGGCUAAUACCGGAUAGGCGCUCCUGCUGCAUGGUGUGGGUUGGAACGUUUCGGCGGUUGGGGAUGGACUCGCGGCUUAUCAGCGUGUUGGUGGGGUAGUGGCUUACCAAGGCUUUGCCGGGUAUGCGGCCUGAGAGGGUGACCGGCCACAUUGGGACUGGGAUACGGCCCAGACUCCUACGGGAGGCAGCAGUGGGGAAUAUUGCACAAUGGGUGGAAGCCUGAUGCAGCAACGCCGUGUGCGGGAUGACGGCCUUCGGGUUGGAAACCGCUUUCGCGCAUGACGAAGCUUUGUGUGACGGUAGUGGGUAAAGAAGCACCGGCUAACUACGUG
rnacentral:rRNA from 1 species